ensembl:processed_transcript
UCUCCAUGCUCUUGCUCGCUAGCAGCCGCACAGAGGAGAAGCGGCUGAGGAGAGGAAGGAAGGAGUCUAUCACAUCAUCUCUCUGUCCACAGGCUUUCCUUGGGGCUUAUGAAGAUUUCUUCUCACCAACCCCUCUUCACCCGUCGGAGCCGGAAGGAUGUGUGGAUAGACGGCUUAAGAACAAAAUGAACUGGAGUUUUUUGAGAGUCCUUUGAGGCCUGCUUGGAUAUUUCCCUCCCUUCCUCCCAAGCCACCACCUCCUUCGGUGGAAUAGAAGAUCGAACCUAGAAAUUGUACUUUCCUCAAGAUCCGCUUAAGAGAAUCUGGUUGAUGGCUUUGGUCUGAGAGUUCAGACAUCUCUUGUGCAACUAAGAAAGACCUCAUUUUCCAUUUGCUGGAUCCUCCUGGUUUGUCAUCCCUGAGUCCUGUAAGAAGCUCAUCAGGAGGUCCCCUGCGCCGGAAGGACCAUGUGAGCUCAUCCCAGAUGAUGGGUGGCACCAUGGUUUUAGCAGCUCACACAGUGGAGAACCACAUUUGCUCUGGAAGAGCUUAGCAACAUGUAUUUGAUAACACAACAAGGUCAGCUUGAGCUCUAUCCUUCUGUGGCCAUACUGAACAAAAGGAGAGACAGACAGACAG